GGCAUACCUGGCUCUCCGCGGCGGGGAUGCCGGACUCGAGCUCGCACAGCGCGCGGAAGUUGUGCAGCUCGAAGUCUGCGUCGACCUGGAGGGAAAAGGUCACCUCGGAGAGGUCCCUCCGCACACAGUACACGGAGGCAGACCUCAGCAUCUGACGAGUGUUAUGCUCAGGAAAGGCUCCUGCACGACCAGCAAAGCCUCACGACCGCCUCUGGAACCGUUUUAUCACUUCACUGUCACUAGUGCGGAAAAGCCCCAGCUGCCCCUUUGGUCACCCUCUGACCACCCCAUCUGAGGCCGCGGCCGAAACCCCAGCUCAGGUCCUGUUACGUUCUCAGGGUCGUGAGAUCGAUCCCCGCUAUGGGCUCCGGGCUCAACGCAGAGGCCGCUUCUCUCUCCUUCUGUCCCUCCUCCCUCGUUGGCG